AGAUUGAACGCUGGCGGCAGGCCUAACACAUGCAAGUCGAGCGGUAGAGAGGUGCUUGCAUCUCUUGAGAGCGGCGGACGGGUGAGUAAUGCCUAGGAUCUGCCUAGUGGUGGGGGAUAACGUUCGGAAACGGACGCUAAUACCGCAUACGUCCUACGGGAGAAAGCGGGGGACCUUCGGGCCUCGCGCCAUUAGAUGAGCCUAGGUCGGAUUAGCUAGUUGGUGAGGUAAUGGCUCACCAAGGCGACGAUCCGUAACUGGUCUGAGAGGAUGAUCAGUCACACUGGAACUGAGACACGGUCCAGACCUCCUACGGGAGCG
rnacentral:rRNA from 1 species